UGAUCCGCCACACUGGUACUGAGACACGGACCAGACUCCUACGGGAGGCAGCAGUGAGGAAUAUUGCACAAUGGGGGAAACCCUGAUGCAGCAACGCCGCGUGGAGGAUGACGCAUUUCGGUGUGUAAACUCCUUUUAUAUGUCAAGAAAAUGACGGUAGCAUAUGAAUAAGCACCGGCUGACUCCGUGCCAGCAGCCGCGGUAAUACGGAGGGUGCAAGCGUUAUUCGGAAUCACUGGGCGUAAAGGACGCGUAGGCGGGAUGCCAAGUCUGAUGUGAAAUCCUAUGGCUUAACCAUAGAACUGCAUUGGAAACUGGUAACCUAGAGUAUGGGAGGGGGAGAUGGAAUUAGUGGUGUAGGGGUAAAAUCCGUAGAUAUCACUAGGAAUACCGAAAGCGAAGGCGAUCUCCUGGAACAAUACUGACGCUAAGGCGUGAAAGCGUGGGGAGCAAACGGGAUUAGAUACCCCGGCAGUCCACGCCCUAAACGAUGAACACUAGUCGUCGGAAUGCUAGUCAUUUCGGUGAUGCACUUAACAGAUUAAGUGUUCCGCCUGGGGAGUACGGUCGCAAGAUUAAAACUCAAAGGAAUAGACGGGGACCCGCACAAGUGGUGGAGCAUGUGGUUUAAUUCGAAAAUACGCGAAGAACCUUACCUAGCCUUGACAUUGAUAGAACACCCUAGAGAUAGAGUGGUGCCCUUCGGGGAACUUGAAAACAGGUGCUGCACGGCUGUCGUCAGCUCGUGUCGUGAGAUGUUGGGUUAAGUCCCGCAACGAGCGCAACCCUCGUCCUUAGUUGCCAGCAGGUUAAGCUGGGCACUCUAAGGAGACUGCCUUCGCAAGGAGGAGGAAGGUGAGGACGACGUCAAGUCAUCAUGGCCCUUAUGGCUAGGGCUACACACGUGCUACAAUGGGGCGUACAGAGAGUUGCGAUACCGCGAGGUGAGCCAAUCUCAUAAAGCGUCUCUCAGUUCGGAUUGAAGUCUGCGACUCGACUUCAUGAAGCUGGAAUCACUAGUAAUCGUAGAUCAGCAAUGCUACGGUGAAUACGUUCCCGGGUCUUGUACUCACCGCCCGUCACACCAUGGGAGCUGAUUUCACCCGAAAUUGGGAAGCUAACCUUCGGGGGGCUACCACUUACGGUGGAAUUAGCGACUGGGGUGAAGUCGUAACAAGGUAACCGUAGGAGAACCUGCGGUUG
rnacentral:rRNA from 1 species